GACGAACGCUGGCGGCGUGCUUAACACAUGCAAGUCGAACGGAAAGGCCUGCUUUCCCUUGUGGAUUGCGGGUACUCGAGUGGCGAACGGGUGAGUAACACGUGAGUGAUCUGCCCCCAACUUGGGUAUAAGCCUGGGAAACUGGGUCUAAUUCCCGAUAGGACUGCAGGGUGGUGCCUGUGGUGGAAAACGAGUUUCUAGUGGUUGGGGAUGAGCUCGCGGCCUAUCAGCUUGUUGGUGGGGUAAUGGCCUACCAAGGCGGCGACGGGUAGCCGGCCUGGGAGGGUGGACGGCCACAUUGGGACUGAGAUACGGCCCAGACUCCGACGGGAGGCAGCAGUGGGGCAUAUUGCACGAUGGGCGGAAGCCUGAUGCAGCGACGCCGCGUGGGGAUGACGGCCUUCGGGUUGUAAACUCCUUUCGACCGCGAGGAAGCCACCUGGUUGGAAGGGUGGUGACGGUAGUGGUAGAAGAAGCACCGGCUAACUACGUG
rnacentral:rRNA from 1 species